AUUGAACGCUGGCGGCAUGCCUUACACAUGCAAGUCGAACGGUAACAGGUUAAGCUGACGAGUGGCGAACGGGUGAGUAAUGUAUCGGAACGUGCCCAGUCGUGGGGGAUAACUACUCGAAAGCGUGGCUAAUACCGCAUACGACCUGAGGGUGAAAGCGGGGGACCGUAAGGCAUCGCGCGAUUGGACCGGCCGAGAUCAGAUUAGCUAGUGGGCGGGGUAAAAGCCCACCAAGGCGACGAUCUGUAGCUGGUCUGAGAAGACGACCAGCCACACUGGGACUGAGACACGGCCCAGACUCCUACGGGAGGCAGCAGUGGGGAAUUUUGGACAAUGGACGCAAGUCUGAUCCAGCCAUGCCGCGUGCGGGAAGAAGGCCUUCGGGUUGUAAACCGCUUUUGUCAGGGAAGAAACGCUCUGGAUUAAUACUCUGGGGUAAUGACGGUACCUGAAGAAUAAGCACCGGCUAACUACGUGCCAGCCGCCGCUGUAACAC
rnacentral:rRNA from 1 species